rnacentral:rRNA from 1 species
GUGGGGAAUUUUGGACAAUGGGCGCAAGCCUGAUCCAGCAAUGCCGCGUGCAGGAAGAAGGCCUUCGGGUUGUAAACUGCUUUUGUACGGAACGAAACGGUCCGGGUUAAUACCCUGGGCUAAUGACGGUACCGUAAGAAUAAGCACCGGCUAACUACGUGCCAGCAGCCGCGGUAAUACGUAGGGUGCAAGCGUUAAUCGGAAUUACUGGGCGUAAAGCGUGCGCAGGCGGUUGUGUAAGACAGGCGUGAAAUCCCCGGGCUCAACCUGGGAAUUGCGCUUGUGACUGCAAAGCUGGAGUGCGGCAGAGGGGGAUGGAAUUCCGCGUGUAGCAGGGAAAUGCGUAGAUAUGCGGAGGAACACCGAUGGCGAAGGCAAUCCCCUGGGCCUGCACUGACGCUCAUGCACGAAAGCGUGGGGAGCAAACAGGAUUAGAAACCCGAGUAGUCC